AUUGAACGCUGGCGGCAGGCCUAACACAUGCAAGUCGGGCGGUAGCACAGGGGAGCUUGCUCCUCGGGUGACGAGUGGCGGACGGGUGAGUAUUGUCUGGGGAUCUGCCCGAUAGAGGGGGAUAACCACUGGAAACGGUGGCUAAUACCGCAUAACGUCGCAAGACCAAAGAGGGGGACCUUCGGGCCUCUCACUAUCGGAUGAACCCAGAUGGGAUUAGCUAGUAGGCGGGGUAACGGCCCACCUAGGCGACGAUCCCUAGCUGGUCUGAGAGGAUGACCAGCGAAACUGGAACUGGGACACGGUCCAGACUCCUACGGGAGGCAGCAGUGGGGAAUAUUGCACAAUGGGAGCAAGCCUGAUGCAGCCAUGCCGCGUGUAUGAAGAAGGCCUUCGGGUUGUAAAGUACUUUCAGCGGGGAGGAAGGCGAUGUGGUUAAUAACCGCGUCGAUUGACGUUACCCGCAGAAGAAGCACCGGCUAACUCCGUGCCAGCCGCCGCGGUAA
rnacentral:rRNA from 1 species